GACGAAGGAUGCAAGCGUUAUCCGGAUUCAUUGGGUUUAAAGGGAGCGUAGGCGGUCCUGUAAGUCAGUGGUGAAAUCUCUCGGCUUAACCGAGAAAUUGCCAUUGAUACUGCAGGGCUUGAGUACAGUUGCCGUUGGCGGAAUAUGACAUGUAGUGGUGAAAUACAUAGAGAUGUCAUAGAACACCGAUUGCGAAGGCAGCUAACGAAACUGUAACUGACGCUGAGGCUCGAAAGCGCGGGGAUCAAACAGG
rnacentral:rRNA from 1 species